AUGACAGCUCAGGGGACCAAAGACCUGCUCCAGGGGUGUUGGAUCAGACCCCUAAAAGCUUUUCUUUAUCCAACCUGGGCACAGCAGCUUCCCCAUAUGCACCUGUGCAAGCAUCUCACCCCUGACCUGGAGGGACUACCUCCAGGGCUGAGAGGUCAGCCCAGGCUCCAAGGCCCAUUCAGUCCUUUGGCCCCU
rnacentral:sRNA from 1 species